rnacentral:ncRNA from 1 species
UGUUGUUACCAUGGUAAUCCUGCUGGGUAUGAGAGGAACUGUAGGUUCAGACAAUUGGUGUAUGUGCUUGGCUGAGGAGCCAAUGGGGUGAAGUUACCAUCUGUGGGAUUAUGACUGAAGGCCUCUAGGUCAGAAUCUCACCAAGGAGGAAGGAUGUGGCAGCCCUGCCUAGCCUCGGUUGGCCUCAGAUAGCCGGUCCGCCACCCUUUCUACCGGCCGGAGGCUCCGCCCGGCUGCGCCGCAGAGACCGGGCUCCAGUACAGAUAGCCCCUAGUCCUAAAAAACGGCUGUGUCUAGAAAGGCGGUUGUCCCUUGGCCCAUCACGUAGGGUGUUUAUGGGGAAUCUGAUGCUAAACUAUUCGCAGACGCCCUGCUUCUGGGUCAGAGUUUCCUAUGGAGCAGAGCAGCUCCCAUACUGCAACCUAUUGAAAGUCGGUCCUUCACACAAGGGUCU